UUCAAUUGUUGUUCCAUGGUGUUU
rnacentral:siRNA from 1 species